rnacentral:rRNA from 1 species
AAGCUCGUAGUUGAAUUUCGAGACCGGUCUACUGGUCGUGCUUUUGUACGUACUGGUUUUAUUGGUUUCUCCUUUCUGACGAACUAUAAUGCCAUUAAUUUGGUGUUAUGGGGAAUCAGGACUGUUACUUUGAAAAAAUUAGAGUGUUUAAAGCAGGCAUACGCUUGAAUACAUUAGCAUGGAAUAAUGAAAUAGGACGUUUGAUUCUAUUUUGUUGGUUUCUAGGAUCGACGUAAUGAUUAAUAGGGAUAGUUGGG